rnacentral:rRNA from 2 species
GGUCAAGUUAUUAAGGGUGCAGGGCGGAUGCCUUGGCACUAGGAGCCGAUGAAGGACGUGAUAAGCUGCGAUAAGCUUCGGGGAGUUGCACGUAAACUUUGAUCCGAAGAUUUCCGAAUGAGGAAACUCACUUAGAGUAAUGUCUAAGUAUCAUUAAGUGAAUACAUAGCUUAAUGAGGGGAACUCAGGGAACUGAAACAUCUAAGUACCUGAAGGAAGAGAAAGAAAUUCGAUUCCGUAAGUAGCGGCGAGCGAACGCGGAUUAGCCCAAACCAAUAAAGUUUUCUUUAUUGGGGUUGCGGACAUAUCAUAACGAAGAGGUAUCGUAAUUGAAGAGGUUUGGAAAGACCCACCACAGAAGGUAAUAGUCCUGUAUGUUAAACGAGAAGACUUCAGAUAUGAUCCAGAGUACCACGGGACACGUGAAACCCUGUGGGAAGCAGGAGGGACCACCCUCCAAGGCUAAAUACUACCUAGUGACCGAUAGCGUAUAGUACCGUGAGGGAAAGGUGAAAAGAACCCCGGGAGGGGAGUGAAAUAGAACCUGAAACCCUGCACUUACAAGCUGUGGAAGCACAUUUCUUGUGUGACCGCGUACUUUUUGUAGAACGGGCCAACGAGUUACGUUAAGUAGCAAGGUUAAGCACUUAAGGUGCGGAGCCGUAGCGAAAGCGAGUUUUAACUGAGCGUUCAGUUACUUGACGUAGACCCGAAACCGGGCGACCUACCCAUGAGCAGGAUGAAGCGAAAGUAAAAUUUCGUGGAGGUCCGAACCCACGAGCGUUGAAAAGCUCGGGGAUGACUUGUGGGUAGCGGUGAAAUUCCAAUCGAGCCCGGAGAUAGCUGGUUCUCCCCGAAAUAGCUUUAGGGCUAGCCUCAAGGUGAGAGAUACGGAGGUAGAGCACUGAAUGUCCUAGGGGGUAUUGCACCUACCGAAGACUAUCAAACUCCGAAUGCCGUCAUCUUAUACUUGGGAGUCAGACUGUGGGUGAUAAGAUUCAUAGUCGAAAGGGCAACAGCCCAGAUCGUCAGCUAAGGUCCCUAAAUGUAAGUUAAGUGGUAAAGGAUGUGGGAUUGCACAGACAACCAGGAUGUUGGCUUAGAAGCAGCCACUCAUUCAAAGAGUGCGUAAUAGCUCACUGGUCGAGUGAUCCUGCGCCGAAGAUUUCCGGGGCUAAAACUUACUACCGAAGCUACGGCAUCAGUAAUGAUGGGUAGGGGAGCUUCCCAUACGGGUUGAAGCAUGACCGUAAGGACAUGUGGACAGUAUGGGAGUGAGAAUGUUGGCAUGAGUAGCGAGAUGUGGGUGAGAAUCCCACAGGCCGUAAACCCAAGGUUUCCAGGGGAAGGUUCGUCCGCCCUGGGUUAGUCGGGACCUAAGCUGAGGCCGAAAGGCGUAGGUGAUGGACAACAGGUUGAUAUUCCUGUACUACCGAUAACCGUUUGAGAGAAGGGAUGACACAGUAGGAUAAGCUAAGCACACUGUUGGUUAUGUGUGCCCAAGCAUUGAGGCAGUCAAAGUAGGCAAAUCCGCUUUGAUAAUGCUGGGAUGUGAUGGGGAGCGAAAUUUAGUAGCGAAGUAGCUGAUUUCACACUGUCAAGAAAAGUCUCUAUCGAGGUUAAAGGUACCCGUACCGCAAACCGACACAGGUGGGUGAGGAGAGUAUCCUAAGGCCAGCGAGAGAACUGUUGUUAAGGAACUCGGCAAAAUGACCCCGUAACUUAGGGAUAAGGGGUGCCACCAUCAGGUGGCCGCAGAGAAUAGGCCCAAGCGACUGUUUACCAAAAACAUAGGUUUCUGCUAAGUCGCAAGACGAUGUAUAGGAGCUGACGCCUGCCCGGUGCUGGAAGGUUAAGGGGAUCUGUUAGAGCAAUCGAAGCAGUGAACUUAAGCCCCAGUAAACGGCGGCCGUAACUAUAACGGUCCUAAGGUAGCGAAAUUCCUUGUCGGGUAAGUUCCGACCCGCACGAAAGGCGUAACGAUUUGGGCACUGUCUCAACAACAGACUCGGUGAAAUUGUAAUUCCGGUGAAGAUGCCGGAUACCUGCGACAGGACGGAAAGACCCCAUGGAGCUUUACUGUAGCUUGACAUUGGGUCUUGGUACUACAUGUACAGGAUAGGUGGGAGGCUUUGAAACCAGGACGCCAGUUUUGGCGGAGCCAUCCUUGGGAUACCACCCUUGUAGUACUGGGACUCUAACCAUAGGCCAUGAAUCUGGUCUUGGGACACUGUCAGGUGGGCAGUUUGACUGGGGCGGUCGCCUCCCAAAAGGUAACGGAGGCGCUCAAAGGUUCUCUCAGUACGGUCGGAAAUCGUACGUAGAGUGUAAAGGCAAAAGAGAGCUUGAUUGCAAGACAUACAGGUCGAGCAAGGAUGAAAAUCGGACUUAGUGAUCCGGUGGUUCUGCGUGGAAGGGCCAUCGCUCAACGGAUAAAAGCUACCCUGGGGAUAACAGGCUUAUCUCCCCCAAGAGUCCACAUCGACGGGGAGGUUUGGCACCUCGAUGUCGGCUCAUCACAUCCUGGGGCUGUAGUAGGUCCCAAGGGUUGGGCUGUUCGCCCAUUAAAGUGGUACGCGAGCUGGGUUCAGAACGUCGUGAGACAGUUCGGUCCCUAUCCGUCGCAGGCGUAGGAAAUUUGAGAAGACCUGUCCUUAGUACGAGAGGACCGGGAUGGACGUACCUCUGGUGUACCAGUUGUCCUGCCAAGGGCAUGGCUGGGUAGCUAUGUACGGAAUGGAUAAGCGCUGAAAGCAUCUAAGCGCGAAGCCAACUUCAAGAUAAGAUUUCCCACCGCAAGGGUAAGACCCCAGAAAGACUAUCUGGUUGAUAGGUCGAAGGUGUAAGUGCAGUAAUGUAUUUAGCUUAUCGAUACUAAUAGGUCGAGGACUUGACCAA